AACGCUGGCGGCGUGCUUAACACAUGCAAGUCGAGCGGAAAGGCCCUUCGGGGUACUCGAGCGGCGAACGGGUGAGUAACACGUGAGCAACCUGCCCUAGGCUUUGGGAUAACCCCGGGAAACCGGGGCUAAUACCGAAUAGGACCUGGCACCGCAUGGUGUUGGGUGGAAAGUUUUUCGGCCUGGGAUGGGCUCGCGGCCUAUCAGCUUGUUGGUGGGGUGAUGGCCUACCAAGGCGACGACGGGUAGCCGGCCUGAGAGGGCGACCGGCCACACUGGGACUGAGACACGGCCCAGACUCCUACGGGAGGCAGCAGUGGGGAAUAUUGCACAAUGGGCGGAAGCCUGAUGCAGCGACGCCGCGUGAGGGAUGACGGCCUUCGGGUUGUAAACCUCUUUCAGCAGGGACGAAGCGUAAGUGACGGUACCUGCAGAAGAAGCGCCGGCCAACUACGUGCCAGCAGCCGCGGUAAGACGUAGGGCGCGAGCGUUGUCCGGAUUUAUUGGGCGUAAAGAGCUCGUAGGCGGCUUGUCGCGUCGACUGUGAAAACCCACGGCUCAACCGUGGGCCUGCAGUCGAUACGGGCAGGCUAGAGUUCGGUAGGGGAGACUGGAAUUCCUGGUGUAGCGGUGAAAUGCGCAGAUAUCAGGAGGAACACCGGUGGCGAAGGCGGGUCUCUGGGCCGAUACUGACGCUGAGGAGCGAAAGCGUGGGGAGCGAACAGGAUUAGAUACCCUGGUAGUCCACGCUGUAAACGUUGGGCGC
rnacentral:rRNA from 1 species